rnacentral:rRNA from 1 species
ACUCCUACGGGAGGCAGCAGUGGGGAAUAUUGCACAAUGGGCGCAAGCCUGAUGCAGCCAUGCCGCGUGUAUGAAGAAGGCCUUCGGGUUGUAAAGUACUUUCAGCGGGGAGGAAGGGAGUAAAGUUAAUACCUUUGCUCAUUGACGUUACCCGCAGAAGAAGCACCGGCUAACUCCGUGCCAGCAGCCGCGGUAAUACGGAGGGUGCAAGCGUUAAUCGGAAUUGCUGGGCGUAAAGCGCACGCAGGCGGUUUGUUAAGUCAGAUGUGAAAUCCCCGGGCUCAACCUGGGAACUGCAUCUGAUACUGGCAAGCUUGAGUCUCGUAGAGGGGGGUAGAAUUCCACGUGUAGCGGUGAAAUGCGUAGAGAUC